UAGAACGCUAGCGGCAGGCUUAACACAUGCAAGUCGGAGGGCAGCAAUAAACAUUGCUUGCAAUUGUUUGAUGGCGACCGGCGCGACGGGUGCGUAACGCGUAUGCAACCUACCCAUAACGAGGGGGAUAACACUGAGAAAUUGGUACUAAUACCCAUAAUAGUUUAAAAGGCAUCUUUUAGAUUUGAAAGUUCAGGCGGUUAUGGAUGGGCAUGCGUUGUAUUAGCUAGAUGGUGAGGUAACGGCUCACCAUGGCGACGAUACAUAGGGGGACUGAGAGGUUAACCCCCCACACUGGUACUGAGACACGGACCAGACUCCUACGGGAGGCAGCAGUGAGGAAUAUUGGUCAAUGGACGCAAGUCUGAACCAGCCAUGCCGCGUGCAGGAUGACGGCUCUAUGAGUUGUAAACUGCUUUUGUACAAGGGUAAACCCUGGGACGUGUCCCAGGCUGAAAGUACUGUACGAAUAAGGAUCGGCUAACUCCGUG
rnacentral:rRNA from 1 species